rnacentral:rRNA from 1 species
CGUGCAGGAAGACGGCCCUCUGGGUUGUAAACUGCUUUUAUCUGGGAAGAAAAAGUCCAUGCGUGGAAAAUUGCCGGUACCAGAUGAAUAAGCACCGGCUAACUCCGUGCCAGCAGCCGCGGUAAUACGGAGGGUGCAAGCGUUGUCCGGAUUUAUUGGGUUUAAAGGGUGCGUAGGCGGCUGAAUAAGUCAGCGGUGAAAGACUUCGGCUUAACCGGAGCAGUGCCGUUGAUACUGUUUAGCUUGAGUGUUGGAGGGGUACAUGGAAUUGAUGGUGUAGCGGUGAAAUGCAUAGAUACCAUCAGGAACACCGAUAGCGAAGGCAUUGUACUGGCCAACAACUGACGCUGAGGCACGAAAGUGUGGGGAUCGAACAGGAUUAGAUACCCUGGUAGUCCACACCGUAAACGAUGAUUACUCGCUGUUAUGGUGUAUGCUGUAGCGGCCAAGCGAAAGCGUUAAGUAAUCCACCUGGGGAGUACGCCGGCAACGGUGAAACUCAAAUGAAUUGACGGG